CACAUGGUGUGAUGUUGCACGAGGCCUCUCCAUUACAACACCACCGUUCAUUGAUAGAACCAUUCUCCGCUGUAGAGACCCACCAACCCCAAAAUUUCAACACGUUGAGUAUGAUAAGCCACUUUCCAUGAGCUCUGACGCCCAAAUCCUAACAUCACAACAAAAUUGUAUUGAAAUCUUUAAGAUCACUCCUCAACAACUUCAAACCUUGAAAAACAAGGUAAAGAAUGUUGAUGGCAAAACAAAGUACACUACCUAUGAGACCUUAACUGCACAUAUAUGGCGUUGCACAUGCAAAGCACGUGCUUUACCUUAUCAUCAACUAACUAAGUUACUCGUACCCGUCGAUGGUCGGUCUAGAUUGCAUCCUCCACUUCCACCUGGCUUUUUUGGUAAUGUAGUCUUUACGGCAACCCUAGUUGUUUUAUCUGGCGAGAUUCUAGCAGAGACACUGAAGGAUACUGUUGAAAGAAUUCAUAACGAAUUAAAGAGGAUGGAUGAUGAGUAUAUGAGAUCGGCGAUUGAUUACUUGGAAGUUUUGGAUGACCUAACACCUACCUUCCGAGGCGCCAAUACUUGUCGAUGCCCAAACCUUAGCAUUGUUAGUUGGAUGAGACUGCCUUUCUAUGAUGCUGAUUUUGGAAUGGGAAAACCCAUAUUUGUGAGGCCUGCAAAUCCACUUGAAGGCAAGGGAAACAUAAUGAGAACUCAAAGUGAUGAUGGAAGUUGCCAAUUGGCCAU
rnacentral:lncRNA from 1 species